GCUUGUCUCAAAGAUUAAGCCAUGCAUAUCUAAGAAUAACUAACAUUAUCUUGAAUCUGUGAAUGGCUCAUUAUAUCAGUUAUAGUUUACAUGAUAGUCAAUACUACUUGGAUAACCGUAGUAAUUCUAGAGCUAAUACAUGCUAUAUGCCCGGCUUCUGGCAGGGCUGUAUUUAUUAGAUACUAAACCAGUGUCGCAAGACAUUGUGGUGAAUCACAGUAACUGAUCGAAUCGGCGCGCAAGCGGCGAUAAAUCAUUCAAGUUUCUGCCCUAUCAGCUUUCGAUGGUAGUGUAUUGGACUACCAUGGCAGUCACGGGUAACGGAGAAUUAGGGUUCGGUUCCGGAGAGGGAGCCUGAGAAACGGCUACCACAUCUAAGGAAGGCAGCAGG
rnacentral:rRNA from 1 species